GAUGAACGCUGGCGGCGUGCCUAAUACGUGCAAGUCGAGCGAACAGAUGAGAAGCUUGCUUCUCUGAUGUUAGCGGCGGACGGGUGGGUAACACGUGGGUAACCUACCUAUAAGACUGGGAUAACUCCGGGAAACCGGGGCUAAUACCGGAUAAUAUUUUGAACCGCAUGGUUCAAUAGUGAAUGACGGUUUCGGCUGUCACUUAUAGAUGGACCCGCGCCGUAUUAGCUAGUUGGUAAGGUAACGGCUUACCAAGGCGACGAUACGUAGCCGACCUGAGAGGGUGAUCGGCCACACUGGAACUGAGACACGGUCCAGACUCCUACGGGAGGCAGCAGUAGGGAAUCUUCCGCAAUGGGCGAAAGCCUGACGGAGCAACGCCGCGUGAGUGAUGAAGGUCUUCGGAUCGUAAAACUCUGUUGUUAGGGAAGAACAAAUUUGUUAGUAACUGAACAAGUCUUGACGGUACCUAACCAGAAAGCCACAGCUAACUACGUGCCAGCAGCCGCGGUAA
rnacentral:rRNA from 1 species